UACAGAGGGUGCAAGCGUUGUUCGGAAUCAUUGGGCGUAAAGGGCGCGUAGGCGGUUUUGUAAGUCGAAUGUGAAAGCCCAGGGCUCAACCUUGGAAGUGCAUCCGAAACUGCGAAACUUGAAUCCUGGAGAGGGUGGUAGAAUUCCCAGUGUAGAGGUGAAAUUCGUAGAUAUCGGGAGGAACACCGGUGGCGAAGGCGGCGACCUGGGACGAUACUGACGCUGAGGUGCGAAAGCGUGGGGAGCAAACAGG
rnacentral:rRNA from 1 species